rnacentral:RNase_P_RNA from 1 species
CGAAGGGGAAGAGGUGAUCGCUCUUCGCCACCUGGCGAGGGGAGGAAAGUCCGGGCUCCAUAGAGCAGGGUGCUGGAUAACGUCCAGUGGGGGUGACCCUAAGGACAGUGCCACAGAAAACAAACCGCCAGGCCCACAGGCACGAUGGCUACGGUGACCGCAAGAGCUUCUUGCGGCGACUGCGCCGCUUGUGAUGCCCUGGUAAGGGUGAAACGGUGCGGUAAGAGCGCACCAGUUCCCAUGGUGACAUGGGAAGCUUGGCAAACCCCACUCGGAGCAAGACCAAAUAGAGAGGCACUCCCACUUGGUCCCACCAGGGACCACCACAGGGAUAAGGGUAGCUCGCCCGACGCCUCCGGGUUCGGUCGCUUGAGGCAUACGGUAACGUAUGUCCCAGAGGAAUGAUCACCACCGUCGGCUGUACAGACGGAACAGAACCCGGCUUACGAUCCGCUUCGUCCU